GAUGAACGCUGGCUACAGGCUUAACACAUGCAAGUCGAGGGGAAACGACGGGGAAGCUUGCUUCCCCGGGCGUCGACCGGCGCACGGGUGAGUAACGCGUAUCCAACCUGCCUCUGACUGAGGGAUAACCCGUCGAAAGUCGGCCUAAUACCUCAUGGCAUCGUCUGCGGGCAUCCAACGACGAUUAAAGAUUUCAUCGGUCAGAGAUGGGGAUGCGUCUGAUUAGCUUGUUGGCGGGGUAACGGCCCACCAAGGCGACGAUCAGUAGGGGUCCUGAGAGGAAGGUCCCCCACAUUGGAACUGAGACACGGUCCAAACUCCUACGGGAGGCAGCAGUGAGGAAUAUUGGUCAAUGGGCGAGAGCCUGAACCAGCCAAGUAGCGUGCAGGAUGACGGCCCUAUGGGUUGUAAACUGCUUUUAUGCGGGGAUAAAGUGAGGGACGUGUCCUUCAUUGCAGGUACCGCAUGAAUAAGGACCGGCUAAUUCCGUG
rnacentral:rRNA from 1 species